UUCCCCUGGGUUUGGGCUGCCCGGUCUGGAGCUGUUUAUCAUGGACAGCAGAACGACAUGGGAUCACCUUUGAGGAAAACCCUGGCUAAUAUAUCAAUCCAUCUAACUCAUCUGCUUUGCUCCACGUCUGCAGUCCCUGCUCAGGUCCACCACAG
rnacentral:lncRNA from 1 species